GGACGCACCACCCGCAAAUAUUAUGUUGUCUCCAUCUUAGUGUACAGGUAGUUUAACUAUAUAAGAACUAAGAUAGAAACUACAGAAGACGGCGUGGUAGUAGAAACUCUGGGAAUCAAAUGUCCGACGGAAAUACUAGUCGAUCGAGUUAGUCGAGUGUUACUCUAGGAGAAACAAAUUAGUAAAACUAUAAACCACUUGGUUAAAUUGAUGGCACAAGUAAAUCGAGAAACAAGUAUUUUUCACAGAGUGAAUCGUCGGGAUAACUAUUUAAUGCGAUUGAGCUCUGCGGGGACACAACUCUGACUAAUUUCGCGGACCGAGUCGAUUAAAAUGCCGAACUAAUAUGUAUAUUAUUAUAUUAUACGCGAAGGACAAAAGUCGUAAGUUCAAUCGAUUCCCUGCAAUGAGCCGGAAAACAUAAACCUAUAUAAUGUUUUCAAAAAAAAAAACAAAAAACAAUAAAAAAAAUUAACAUAUUCAAUUUGUUCCAUCGCUGCUGUAAUUGGCUAUAAAACACUUGGGGAAAAAAACGUUGGGCAACAGACAAUUGGUCUUUUUGUAUAACAGUCGUUAAAUCAAGGUAUGUACGCGCGAUGUACCUAUCUAUAGCUAGUAUACAUAUAUGCACCACAUCCCACGUUGUAGGUAUAUCAUCGGUUUUAUGCAAACAUUCAUUCCUAUCCUCAUUUAGUCCGUUGCCUGCAAACGAUGAUAUUCCCACGGGAUAAAUUUAUACUUUUCCGAAUCGUCAGCGAUAUUUAUUGUUAAGAAAAAAAUCUUAUAUCCUACUGUACUGCAACGAAUACACGCCAUAGUGCAAUACGGCUGAAUGCUGAUGUACCUAUAAUAUUGUGCAUUUCUAAUUAUGAUUUCUACAAUAAAGUAUGUAAUAUUAUAAUGAUAAUAUAAUAUAAUGGGACAAUAAAAAAAAUUUAAAUGAUAAUAAUAAGUUAUAAUAAUAAACUCUCAAGUGCUCUCACGUGAAAAUCGUUUGUUGCGAUGCGUACGUAAUUUGAAUUGAAUUUAUUCAAUAUUAUGCUAUUUAUCUUGAUUAUGUACUCAUUUUACAAUAACAACUGGUACAUUUUACG